rnacentral:rRNA from 1 species
UGGGGAAUUUUGGACAAUGGGGGAAACCCUGAUCCAGCCAUCCCGCGUGUGCGAUGAAGGCCUUCGGGUUGUAAAGCACUUUUGGCAGGAAAGAAACGUCAUGGGUUAAUACCCCGUGAAACUGACGGUACCUGCAGAAUAAGCACCGGCUAACUACGUGCCAGCAGCCGCGGUAAUACGUAGGGUGCAAGCGUUAAUCGGAAUUACUGGGCGUAAAGCGUGCGCAGGCGGUUCGGAAAGAAAGAUGUGAAAUCCCAGAGCUCAACUUUGGAACUGCAUUUUUAACUACCGGGCUAGAGUGUGUCAGAGGGGGGUGGAAUUCCGCGUGUAGCAGUGAAAUGCGUAGGUAUGCGGAGGAACACCGAUGGCGAAGGCAGCCUCCUGGGAUAACACUGACGCUCAUGCACGAAAGCGUGGGGAGCAAACAGG